UUCCCUUUAUCACCGCCCUACGAUGCGUGUCUGACAUGGUGUCAGAAGUGGGGUGGGCCGCUCCCGAAAUAGACCGUCAGGGGCGUAUGCAGUCCGACAGAGCGGAGCAGUAGCUUGCAAGUGGUGCAAGUCUUCACGGAAGGCACGGCAGCAACAAGCGUCCAGCAACGAGCAACAAUGGCUGGGAUAAAGCCUCCGCAGCCAUUUGAUUUCCACAACGCAGCAGACUGGCCCUCUUGGAUUGAGGAAUUCGAAGACUACAGCUUCGCAUCCGGUCUCAGCGAGAAAAAGGAAGAAAUUCAAACGAUAGAUUGGAUUUUUACAAGCACUGCUCCAGGCGGGUGCAUGUCCCCGGCAAACGGAAGCCUCAGAAGAGCACGUGAGGUUAUAAUGCAGCAGGUGGCGCAGGAUCUCCAGGGCACCCAAGUCCGCCACUGAGAAGUCGGUGGCCGACUUAUCGGCCAUACAAGCGAGGGCCAUAGUCCGCUUAUGCCUGGCCAUUGACCACGUCGGCAGAAAGUCGGGCCUCUUGCUUGGCCUAGCGUCUUUGGCGGCUCCUGCUGCUGAAGUGCGAAACCGCUUGGCAGUCACGGCGGCUGGAUCUAUUAGCCGGCAUCAUGGACGCUUCUGCGACGCCGCGCCGUUUACUCAUUCUACAAAGGCAAGUACUCUUGAAUGAAAAGUAUCUGUUCAAGUGUUAACAGAAGCAUAUGCCGAUUUGGCCGAGCAGCAGAACGCAC